GACGAGGUGGCCGAGAGGUUAAGGCGAUGGACUGCUAAUCCAUUGUGCUCUGCAUGGUUCGAAUCCCAUCCUCGUCG
rnacentral:tRNA from 1 species